rnacentral:rRNA from 1 species
AUUGAACGCUGGCGGCAGGCUUAACACAUGCAAGUCGAGCGGGGGAAGGUAGCUUGCUACCGGACCUAGCGGCGGACGGGUGAGUAAUGCUUAGGAAUCUGCCUAUUAGUGGGGGACAACAUCUCGAAAGGGAUGCUAAUACCGCAUACGUCCUACGGGGGAAAGCAGGGGAUCUUUGGACCUUGCGCUAAUAGAUGAGCCUAAGUCGGAUUAGCUAGUUGGUGGGGUAGAGGCCUACCAAGGCGACGAUCUGUAGCGGGUCUGAGAGGAUGAUCCGCCACACUGGGACUGAGACACGGCCCAGACUCCUACGGGAGGCAGCAGUGGGGAAUAUUGGACAAUGGGGGGAACCCUGAUCCAGCCAUGCCGCGUGUGUGAAGAAGGCCUUAUGGUUGUAAAGCACUUUAAGCGAGGAGGAGGCUACUUUAGUUAAUACCUAGAGAUAGUGGACGUUACUCGCAGAAUAAGCACCGGCUAACUCUGUGCCAGCCGCCGCAGUAA